rnacentral:rRNA from 1 species
AUUAGGUUACUUAGUGGCGGACGGGUGAGUAACGCGUGGGUAACCUGCCUUACACAGGGGGAUAACACCUGGAAACAGGUGCUAAUACCGCAUAAGCGCACAGGGCCGCAUGGCCCGGUGUGAAAAACUCCGGUGGUGUAAGAUGGACCCGCGUCUGAUUAGCUUGUUGGCGGGGUAGGGGCCCACCAAGGCGACGAUCAGUAGCCGGCCUGAGAGGGUGGACGGCCACAUUGGGACUGAGACACGGCCCAAACUCCUACGGGAGGCAGCAG